UGUUAGGUUGGGGUUCUUUUUCCUGUUUUGCUUUUUUUUCCUCUUCUGUUCUGUUCUGGCUUUUCUGGGAAGCUGCCAUUUCCUUUCACAGCCACCAGAUGUCACCAUUGAGCGGAGCCCCUGGAGAAGUGUGGCGGCCAACCUGUAGACGCACCUGUGUCUAAUUUUCGAGAGCUGCGGAGGUGCUUCAUAAGGACCGCCUAGCUGACACUCCAGUGCCUGAGUGUUUGCCUCAUCUGGAUUCCUCGUGGCCAUCCUGAGACCCCUCGAGGUGGACAAGCGUUCCCGUCUGGAUUUCCCUUUGGUUUUUCUCCCGACGCCAUUGGUGUUACCAAUCGGCUACCCUCCCUCGUGUACUCACCUCCCUGGUCCCUUCCCGUGGUUUUCCUGCGCCUCGCCACAGACUGGGCCUGCCGGCGCUUCGUGUCCCGGGAGCUAAUCAUCGUAGGUCCCCGCUCGGAGGUCAGCCCGCUCCCCUCUUCAGCUACAAGGCUUACCUGCUCGCUCUCCAACGGUAAUCCAUCUCUCCAGCCGCCGCCACCGACAAGACUUAGCUCCGCCUUCAAUCCGACGACCAGUUUUCCUCCAUUCCCAGGUUCCAGGACUGUUUCCCCAAACCCCCCACUACCUCU